rnacentral:rRNA from 1 species
UACGUAGGGGGCAAGCGUUGUCCGGAAUCAUUGGGCGUAAAGCGCGUGUAGGCGGCUUGGUAAGUCCGCUCUGAAAGCCCGGGGCUCAACCCCGGGAGGCGGGUGGAUACUGUCAAGCUCGAGUCCGGAAGAGGCGAGUGGAAUUCCUGGUGUAGCGGUGAAAUGCGCAGAUAUCAGGAGGAACACCUAUGGCGAAGGCAGCUCUCUGGGACGGUACUGACGCUGAGACGCGAAAGCGUGGGGAGCGAACAGG